CAGCCCCUUGAAGGUUUUGCUGGCCAGCUCCUCCAGGGCGCAGAGGGGAGACGUUUGGGAGAGCAGCGGCCGGCCGGAGAGGGGCAGCCCGGCCGGGGGGUGCUUGUCGGCGGCGGAGAGCAGGCUUUUGCAAGUUCGGAGACCCAUUAAUUAGGAGGCGUUUAUCUAAAAUGCCUCUCUCGGGCUCUCUCCCGGAGCCGUUUGGUGUUUUAAUGAGGGGAAGAAGGGGAGAUGCGUUGUUUCCAGCCCUCUUGGCACCCGGCCCCGAAUUGGAGACCCUCGGUGCCCCGCGGCGGGUCCCAUCGCAUCUCCCCGUCCUCGGAGGGCCCCGGGGAGCAGGGGGGGCACCGGGAGCAGCCCGGGGUCGGAUCCUGCCUCCUCCACCAAACUUCGCGUCCUGCCGGGCUCUUCUCCUGCCCGCCCAGCCGUCGGCUCUUCUCUCCCGGUUUUGGGUUCGUUUUGGGGGAAAACCGCCCUUAUUCGCAGCGUUUCACCCCGCUUUUACCAGCUCCAGCUCCUGCGAGGGGGGACCCGGCACCCAUUCCCCCUCGGGGCACGCAAAAAAGUUUGGGGCCGGACCCAGAGAGGAGGGAACGGCGGCACCGAGGGAUGGAGGAGGGGGUCCUGGAGCCGUCGGGGAAAUGUGGCGCAGGGUCCCCGCCUUCCAGCGGGGAAGAAAAGCGGGUGAGCAGCGGCCUUUCCCGCAGAAAACCCCCGCUUACCCUGGGGCGUAAAGAAACCCUCCGGCUACGGGGGGCAGCUUUGGAGGCGUCUCCCCCCGCCGCCCCCAGAGCCGUAUUUUGGGGUGGCGGCACCGCCCUCCUCCCCCUUUUUUUGCCCCCCCCCCUUCCCCGCAGGCAGCCCGGGGGCCGCUCGGGUUUGGCUGCGUGCGGCCCCGCUUUUGUCCAGGAAAAUGUCACAGGAAUCGAAUUAAAGCAGGCGGCAUAAAUCAUUCAAGUGUUGAUCACCAAAGUAACUGCGUACAAAUGACACCUCCUUCCCCGGCAUAGCUGAGCCGUGCAUGGCUCCCAGUUAUGUCUGCCUGCUCGAAGUGCCCUAAACACGUUGCGGCUCCCCGGGAGAGGCUCGGAGAGGAGCAGACUCCGUGCCCUCCAGCUGCCAGCGAGCUCAGGGGCCUGGCACAGCAUCCCAAAGAGGGGGGAGCUCGGCAACUAACUGGGUUUUGUCUUCAAGCCCCCCCCUUUCCCCAGAUUUGGGGUGGCGAGUGCGCGCAGGCGGAGAGAGCCCGGAGGUCCCCUUCGCCUUCCCUCGCAGAGCAGCCGGUAAAUGUCCCCAUGUCCCCCGUGGGUGGCCACAGGUGUCCUCCUUCCUCGCCUCCGACGGGCUCCUUGCUCCCCCCGGCAAACAACCGCCCCCGCCUGGGCGCACGCCGGGUCCCGGCGCUGCCGGGGAGGGUCCUGGGGGGCCCCGGGGAGCCCCGCGGAGCUGAGCAGAAGCCCCCCGACAGAGCCCAUCUCCCGAGGUCGUUUUGUAGCCGUGUCCCUCUUCUUCCUCCCCUCGCAAGCCGUUCCCUUGCGAGGAAAAAAAAAAUAAAAAUAAAUAACUUCGCCGCACCAAAAAUAAACCUGACCCAAGCGCCCGCACCCGGCCGGGGAAACGGGGCCAGAGGCAGGGCAGGCGGGCGGGAGCGCACCUCCCCAAAAAGCCUUCCCCCUUAACCAAAAAAGAGCGAAACCGGGAUUUUCCCCAAGGCCACGGGCAGCGGGGAUGCGGGGAAGCGGCGGAGGCACGGCGAGGCCCUGCCCGAGCCCCCAAUUUAUCCCCGAGGGGGGGACACACGAAACCCACCGCCCCAAAAGCACGGCUGAACGCGGGGCAGCGGGGGGCGGCCCCCGCUUUUUCGUUUGCGAGCAAACUCCCGGGGACAGCCAGCGGCAUCGGGGUGGGUGGGGAGCGGGGGUCGGGCCCCCCCCUGCUCACCCAAAGGGACAAUUUGUUUUUUCCUGGCUUGCCCCCCCCCCCCCGGCUGUGCCCCUACAGCCUCCCUGCCGUCAGGGAGGCCGGGGGAGGGCAACGAGCCUCUGCUCUGAAUUUGGGGGAGCCCCGAUGUAAGGGGGAAGCUCCCGGAGGAGGGGGCCUGGGGCCUGGAUGCAAGGAAAAAGGGGGAGCCCCCCCCGCCCCGUAAGUCGGUCCCAAGCACAAACUAAACGCAGCUCCCGAGGGUGUCCCCAUCCCAAACGCCGGGUGGUCCCUAAGCACGGUGGGGGACCCUUCUGGGGGUUUUAGGGGUUCUCGGGGGGGUGCAGAGCCCCUCCGAGCCGCUGCAGAGGGCAGCCAGGUCAGGGUGGUGGGGACAGGGAUAGGGAGAGGGACAGGGACAGGGACAGGGACAGGGACAGGGUCGGAUCCUUCUGCAGCCGCCGCAGGGACUCCCGAAAUGGAGACGUGAGUGCCUGCGGCUCGGUGCAUUUUUAGCCUUUAAAACUCCAGAAUUUUAAUUUCUAGUCCCAGAAACGCAGCUGGACGCGGGCUCCUGGAAAAGAACAGCCGGGACGUGCCCGUCCCAGGUCAGAGAGAGGCGAGAACUUGAUUUAUUUUAUUUUAUUUUAUUUUAUUUUAUUUUACUUUAUUUUAUUUUACUUUAUUUUUAAACACUUCGAGAAGUGCCAUUUGCAGGACCCCCGCAGAGGAGGAGGAGGAGGAGGGAGGCCGGAGGCGGGCAGGGAGGUGGCACGGAGCCACCGGGAGCAUUUCAGGCCUCCCGGCCGUGCCAGGCUCUGUGGGCGGCAGAGAUUUGGCAGCUCCCGGGCCCUCCGUGCCCCUUCUCCAUCCCGGGAGAGGCGAGGCCAGGGCAGGGAGCAAAUUGGGGCGAGGAGAGCACAGGGGAUGCUCGCAGGACGUCCCCUGCCCCACGGCUUCACUCUGGACAAAACUUUGUUGGAAGGGGGGAGCCAAGGGGAGCAUCCACACGGGGAUAUGACAGCCGAGCCGUGCUGGCUCCUCCGAGACCUGUAAUAUCUCCUCCGCUCCCGGCACGCGUGAAUAAUUCACCAGGCUGCCAAAUGCAAGUAACGUGUGGCAGCUCUGAAGGAGCCGGGGAGGCGAAGGCUCAUUUUUGGGGGGCAGGAGGAGGUGUGGGGAAUCAAUUGAAACUUAAUAAAGGGAGUGGGGGGGAGAAUGGCGGAAAUAAGCUAGGCAACUUCUUCUAAUAACAACUUGGUGUUAAUAAUUCAGGAGCAGUCAUUGGAUUAUAGCGCAAUAUCCGAAGUACGCCUUGCCGGCACAGUGCGGGUGGAUAAUGU